UAUACACACGCCGUGUCUCCCAUCAACUUAACUCGCGGGACCAAAGCGAUGCAUCUCAGGCAUUCUCAGCUUCCUUAAAUGCCAAGAAGACGCAGCGUGAAGGAUGGGUGAUGUCACCGGCCACUUUUAGCUUUGCAGAUCCAAAGUGGGAUAUGAUGAAACAUUACAGUGUAUGAAAUCACAGAAGCUAUGGUGUUGGCAGUCUGUAAGAAAGUCCAUUGAAUGAUGUUUACCGGUGCCUCUUUGGAAAUGGUUGUUUUGGAAUAAUCAGAAUGUCAAACUACUGGUCAUCCUGAUAA